rnacentral:lncRNA from 8 species
UGUUGAGCCGAGUAUGGUUCCUAAUCAGAGGCAGCUGUCUACCGUUGUCUCUGAUUAGGAAUCAUACUUAGGCAGCCCUUUUUUUUUUCCAUCUUUAGUUGUGGGAUUCUGUUUUUGUGUUGCUGCCUUUGAGCAGCCCCAGAACGUCACGGUUUCCUCCUGUUUGUUGUUUUGGUGAGUUUCAUUUUCAUUUAAAAGAUGUGGAAUUCCAUGCACGCUGCGCCUUGGUUUAUUUAUGAUCGGGAGUUCGAAGAUAGCGAUCGUGACAGAAGAUCCCACCACAAGAAAGCCAAGCAGCGUGCGCUUACUGGGAAGACGAGCUGGACCGGGGAGAACCAACAUCGACGGAAGCACGAGAGGCAGCGGGGGGCACACGGGGAGAUUGGCGGAGUCAGGGUGGAGAUCUGAGCCAACUCCCCGUGCUUACCGUGGGGAGCAUGUGACCAGUCGGGCACCGUGGUAUGCGGUGAUGCGCACUGUAUCUCCAGUGCGCAUUCACAGAUUAGUGCGUCCUGUGCCAGCGCCCCACAUGUGCAGGGUGAAAGUAAGCAUCCAGCCAGGAUGGAUUGUGCCAGCUCUAUGCUCGAGACCUCCGGUGCGCCUUCACGGCCCAGUAUAUCCUGUGCCUGCUCCUCGCACUCGCCCUGAGGUGCGUCUUACCAGUCUGGCGCCACCUGUGCUUGCCCCACGCAUCAGGCCUCCAGUGCGCCUGCCUAGUCCGGUGUGUCCUGUUCCUGCUCUCUGCACUCGCCCUGAGGUGCGUGUUACCAGUCUGGCGCCACCUGUGCCAGCCCCACGCAUCAGGCCUCCAGUGCGCCUUCCCAGUCCAGAUCUUCCGGCGACAGUUCCCAGUUCAGAGCUUCCGCCAACAGUUCCCAGUCCGGAACCUCCGACGACAGUUCCCCAGUCCGGAACCUCCGACGACAGUUCCCCAGUCCGGAACCUCCGACGACAGUUCCCCAGUCCGGAACCUCCGACGACAGUUCCCCAGUCCGGAACCUCCGACGACAGUUCCCCAGUCCGGAACCUCCGGCGACAGUUCCCCAGUCCGGAACCUCCGGCGACAGUUCCCCAGUCCGGAACCUCCGGCGACAGUUCCCCAGUCCGGAACCUCCGGCGACAGUUCCCCAGUCCGGAACCUCCAGCGACAGUUCCCCAGUCCGGAACCUCCAGUGACAGUUCCCCAGUCCGGAACCUCCAGCGACGUUCCCCAGUCCGGAACCUCCAGCGGCGGCCCGCAGUCUGGAGUCUUCAGCGGCGGUCGGCAUUUCGGAGCCUCCGGCGAUGAUCCACGGUCUGGUUCCUCCGGCGACACAAAAGCGGGGGGGGGGGAUCAGCGGGCGGAGUAGGGGCUA